rnacentral:lncRNA from 1 species
ACAGGUUUAAAACUAAGUAGCGCAGGUAACUCAUAAUGAUUGAUUGAUGUCUAUAUUUACAAUGCACUUUCUGUUUCGCUUCAAGGAACGUGGGAAUCCUAGCGUUAACAAUUUCGUCUCGAUGCAGAUUCUAUUUUAGCUAUAAUGUUCUAUUUAUAGACGGGUAUUUCCGAAAGUCAUAACGAAACAGCUAGGCGUAAUUCAACAGACUGUCACUGUCAUGGCUAACAUUGGCGUUACAACUGAAAAUAUUACACAAUUAAGGUCACUGCAACAAGGAGACCACAUUGCAGUAGAGGUUGAAAUGGCGGGAGUUAAAUUUUAUCACCAUGGAAUCUUUCGAGGACAUAACAAAGGAGUGGUCGACUUUGGUGGUACGAAUGAAAUGACUGCCACUGUCCGAGUGGUUGAUAUUUUUGAAUUUACAGAACAAGGAAAACGGCAAUUAUUCCGGUACAUAUAUCGGAGCACUGACUGUCUUUCUAAAAGGGAAGCAGCAAGUUAUUAAAACGCUGAAGGACCUUAUACCCGCAGUUGCUAUAAUUUCAUUAUUUCUGCCAUCAGUAGCAGUUUGUUGCGUCGGCAUUGAUGGUAUUCUUAUUAAAAGGCGGGUAAAUAGCUUAUCAUCAUUUUGCCUUAGACAUAAAACCAGUAUAUGCAGCUUCGCUUGUUCACACAAGCUUGCGUAAAAGAUACUAUCUCAUUUCAAUUAUAGGAUUUGCACAAAUCAGUGCUAAUGCAAUGUGCAUAUGAGCGGAUGUGUGGUAAGGAAGACCUAAUGCAUAAAUAGUUAUAUUUCUCAUAUAAUGAAAAAUCUGAGAAGAAGUGCAUAAUUCUAACAGUUGUAAAUCGGGUAGCUCGAUUCCAGAAUGCAUAGUUGUGCCGAUAGUCAACCAAUAAGAUCAUGGCGAGGUAUACCGAUUGCAGAACUUAAACUUUGCAGAUAGUUCAACAUUCCUUUAUGAUGUGAUAUUCAGGAUAACUUAUAAUUUCUGACUUUUUGUGAGUGCACGUGUAUCAGAACGUUUUUUUGGGUAAAAAAUUGUUGCUCUAGUAUGGAACGUACUUCGAAGCUUGUAGUCUUUAAUAUAUAAACUGCAACACUAUUUUGAAAUAUGUGUUAAAGGAACAUAGAUGUUCAACAGUACUAUAACACUGCAAAAUAUUGCAACGUGUAUUUAUUUCAGAUAAUGUUUCUACAAAUAUUCCAAUUAGGAAAUGCAUUGAUUGCAUUUAUCUACUCAUGAAUCUUAUGUCAUAUAUGUUUAUUCCCCUGAAAUAAUAGUGCUAUGAAUAUAAAGCCGUAACUUUUAAGAUUAAGACUGUCCUCGUCAUUGACAGACAGAUUUUCGAGUAAAAAAAUAAUAGAUGAAUAAAUACUUGUAAAAGUGUUUCCAAUCUUUGAUAAAACAAGCUCAAUAAGUUGAUCUAGUUGUUUCUCAAUAUCCUAUCCAAAUGGUACAAAAUGAACUUCUUUAGCAAUGUCAUCACGCAAACAUGAUUAAAAUUUUUAAUUUUUACGUCAUUUCAUUAGAGCUCCGCUGAGUCAAAACAUUUUGUCAAUGCAUAUUAUUUACACAUUGUCUAUUGUAGUUGAAAACAUUAGUAAAAAAUUUAAGAUGUUACCAGUAAGUUCAUUCUUCAAAGACAUUUAACCCUAAAUAUCUUUGAUCGUACGGAUAUCGCAAAGGGCUGUAAUGAAUACGUCCCCAAAAUGGAAGUAAAAUAAGAAACAGUUUUACAAAAUGUGAACUAAACAAGCAUGUAUUAUUCAUUGAUCCUUACCCAUCCGCGUGACUUGGAUUUUAACGAUAGAACUGGGUACACCACAGUAUUACGAUUAAUAUACUUACAUUAUAAUAUCCUGUGUUAUAACAUUUUGUAUUAAAGGCUCAUAAUGCAUUUGUUUAGAUUGUGGCUGUCACAUUUUCCGUUAUGAACAUAAAAUACAUUAAUUUCUGAUUAAAUCUUAUUUCUGAUAGUUACUUUCUUCAACAUUUAUCAAAGGUUUGAAUAUUGCUGAAUAUACUAUAAUGUUU